rnacentral:rRNA from 1 species
GAUGAACGCUGGCGGCGUGCCUGAUACAUGCAAGUCGAACGCUGGAGAUCUAGCUUGCUAGAUCGAAGGAGUGGCGAACGGGUGAGUAAUACAUAAGCAACCUACCCACGAAGACUGGGAUAAUCUCUGGAAACGGGGACUAAUACCGGAUAGGUAAUCGGAAGGCAUCUUCUGGUUAUUAAAGGUUAAAAACACUGGUGGAUGGGCUUAUGGCGCAUUAGUUAGUUGGUGAGGUAACGGCCCACCAAGACGAUGAUGCGUAGCCGGCCUGAGAGGGUGAACGGCCACAUUGGGACUGAGACACGGCCCAGACUCCUACGGGAGGCAGCAGUAGGGAAUUUUCGGCAAUGGGGGCAACCCUGACCGAGCAACGCCGCGUGAGUGAAGACGGCCUUCGGGUUGUAAAGCUCUGUUGUAAGGGAAGAACGGUAGAUAGAGAAUAUCUAAGUGACGGUACCUUACCAGAAAGCCACGGCUAACUACGUG